rnacentral:ncRNA from 1 species
CUGCUGUGUCUCUGUACAGUGAUGUAUAACAAAAAAACCCUUCUAAUUCAUGGGAACCCUUAACAGAUAAUGCUGAAGGCAAUCAUGAGCCAAGCCUAGUAAAGUACUAGGAAGGUGCAACGACUAGAGAAAAGAUAGUUUACUGUUAUAGGCAGUAAAUGAAAACUGAGUAUCGUACAUCUAAGUAGAUGGAAAUGGAGGGAUUCCUAAAGUAACGUUUAGGAAUGUGAUAUAGUCUAGUCUAUAUGGAAACAUAUAG